rnacentral:rRNA from 1 species
AGGACGAACGCUGGCGGCGUGCUUAACACAUGCAAGUCGAGCGGUAAGGCCUUUCGGGGUACACGAGCGGCGAACGGGUGAGUAACACGUGGGUGAUCUGCCCUGCACUCUGGGAUAAGCCUGGGAAACUGGGUCUAAUACCGGAUAUGACCUGCUCUCGCAUGGGGGGUGGGUGGAAAGAUUUAUCGGUGCAGGAUGGGCCCGCGGCCUAUCAGCUUGUUGGUGGGGUAAUGGCCUACCAAGGCGACGACGGGUGGCCGACCUGAGAGGGUGACCGGCCACACUGGGACUGAGACACGGCCCAGACUCCUACGGGAGGCAGCAGUGGGGAAUAUGCACAAUGGGCGAAAGCCUGAUGCAGCGACGCCGCGUGAGGAUGAAGGCCUUCGGGUUGUAAACCGUCUUUCAGCAGGACGAAGCGCGAAGUGACGGUACCUGCAGAAGAAGCACCGGCUAACUACGUGCAGCAGCCGC